rnacentral:rRNA from 1 species
AUUACCGAGUUUACAACUCCCAAACCCCAUGUGAACAUACCUGUUUCGUUCCCUCGGCGGUGUCCGGCAACGGCCCGCCAGAGGACCCAACAAACUCUUUUGAAUUUUUCAGUAUCUUCUGAGUGAAAAAAACAAUAAAUCAAAACUUUCAACAACGGAUCUCUUGGUUCUGGCAUCGAUGAAGAACGCAGCGAAAUGCGAUAAGUAAUGUGAAUUGCAGAAUUCAGUGAAUCAUCGAAUCUUUGAACGCACAUUGCGCCCGCCAGUAUUCUGGCGGGCAUGCCUGUUCGAGCGUCAUUUCAACCCUCAAGCACCUUCGGGAGCUUGGUGUUGGGGAUCGGCAGGGCGUCCUCCGGGUCGCGCCGUCCCCCAAAUUUAGUGGCGGUCUCGCUGUAGCUUCCUCUGCGUAGUAAUACACCUCGCUCUGGAGUCUCGGUGCGACCACGCCGUAAAACCCCCAACUUUUUUCUGGUUGACCUCGAAUCAGGUAGGACUACCCGCUGAACUUAAGCAUAUCAAUAAGCGGAGGAAAAGAAACCAACAGGGAUUGCCCUAGUAACGGCGAGUGAAGCGGCAACAGCUCAAAUUUGAAAUCUGGCCCUCGGGUCCGAGUUGUAAUUUGUAGAGGAUGCUUUUGGUGAGGUGCCUUCCGAGUUCCCUGGAACGGGACGCCAUAGAGGGUGAGAGCCCCGUCUGGUUGGAUACCGAGCCUCUGUAAAGCUCCUUCGACGAGUCGAGUAGUUUGGGAAUGCUGCUCUAAAUGGGAGGUAUAUGUCUUCUAAAGCUAAAUACCGGCCAGAGACCGAUAGCGCACAAGUAGAGUGAUCGAAAGAUGAAAAGCACUUUGAAAAGAGAGUUAAAAAGUACGUGAAAUUGUUGAAAGGGAAGCGCUUAUGACCAGACUUGGGCUUGGUUGAUCAUCCUGGGUUCUCCCUGGUGCACUCUUCCAGUUCAGGCCAGCAUCAGUUCGCUGCGGGGGAUAAAAGCUUUGGGAAUGUGGCUCCCUCGGGAGUGUUAUAGACCAUUGCAUAAUACCCUGCUCCGGACUGAGG